rnacentral:tRNA from 1 species
GGAGGAUUGGCCGAGUGGUUUAAGGCAGCAGUCUUGAAAACUGCCGAGGGUUUACGCUCUCCGAAGGUUCGAAUCCUUUGUCCUCCGCCA